ACGUCGAACAUAUUAUUUGUUUGAACUUUAACAUUCGGGGAAAAAGGCUGAGGAACAUUUCGGGAUUGUGUUUCGGAAGUGACAUUUACGAGAGAACGAGAUUCACCGAGCUCUGAGAUUUUAGAUCGAAAUUUCAAACGUUAUCAAAGUUCGUUAACGAUUGUUCGAUAAAUUGAAAUAAUUACUGCUAAUCUUCAUUGAAAAUUAAAACUGCAGCCUCAGUGAUCUCGUUGAAUUGCACAUAUUACAGGCUAUAUCGAAAAAGUUUACUGUUUGGUUGCAAACUAGAGGGAUUUCAUUAAUCUAAACCUAGUUCUAAGUCUAACACAGCUAACACGCACUACUAUGCAUUCAAGUGUGCUGUUGUAAUUGUAGACGUUUUGUUUUGCAAUGUUUGACGAAGCUUUGUGUCCCACCGGCACAAGAACAUCAUGAAUAUUUAAUACCCAAAGAAAUGCGUCAUUCUUUUCCACAUCUUGCAUAUUAAUGCCGCUCAUUAAUUGCAAUUCCGUCACCUUGACCUUUCUUCCCAUGGAAAUCGACAAAAUAUUGCAGAGGAUUCCGUGAAUGUCGUCAUAAAGUCCGUGGGUCUCUUCAAAAUAGACAGGAAUUUCUGCCACGAGGAUAGAUACGAAAGAAGAUGCAUCCAAAUAUAGAAUUCCUGCCUUUCACAUUCAGAGAUUCUUUAAACGUCUUGAAUCUCUGAUAAUAUUAUUCUGCAUUUCCAUAAAACCCGUUACGAUCUCUUCGAAAGAAUUUAUUCGAAAAAGAUGUAAUAGAAAUUAGGAAUAUUUCGAGGAAGUAUUAAACAGAUAAAUACAUCUAUGUGUUUGUGUAUGAAAUUCAUUAGAAUAUGAUGUAAUUCAUCACAAAGAAGAUUAAAGUCUUUCGAUCUUAAUACGAUAAACAUUUGUUUUUCCAAUUGGAAAAUUCCCAUAGCAAGUGUAUCAUCGGCUUAUGAGGUGAAACCUUGCCAGCCACCGUGAACUAUGUUAUGUAAAUGUUGUAAUAUUAAUGGAUGAGAUGCAAAGCCGUGAUGGAGCAACAGGAUGGUAUGUCGGUGCACCCCGUAAUCCCAUGAGAGACGAUUGUGCGAAAUUGCUAUCGUUCAAGGCAGCUGCGCAAAUGCGAUUUACCGAUUGUUUGCAUCUGGAUCGAUGAAUAGUGGAAUAACAACAGACACGCGCGAGGAUGAUCGGCUCUUAUGGUCAUAUGUAAUUUGUCCAGCAGUGUCCUUGGUAUUUCAGGAAAUCUUACGUGGAAUCUUCGGAUACUCUCUUGUGUCUUUUUUACUCAUUGGGUCUCGAGUUGUCUUUUUAUACGCAGUUAAGGUAGUAAUAUUUGGCCAUCAAUUAUGUCGAUCAAAGAUUUUGUUAAUUUUUUGUAGUAUAUGUAGCUCUAAAGUAUAGCUUCAACUACAAUUUGUUAUUAAAUAAAGACAUUAUGGAAAAAUUGAAUUAUCGGGUAUUUGAAAGAUGCAGAAGUGCGUAAUCUUCGGUACGAAAUUCGCAGAAAUUGCAGCGAUACGAAUUAAUCAAGGAGCUAUUUAAUGCGAGUACUUGCAAGCAAGUUCGUUCUGGUUUUUACGCGAAGCGAAUUGAAUCGAAGCGAGGUCGCGUCAAUUAAGCCGUUCUUCGUCGAGCAAAUGAUCAAGGAGCCAGUCGAAGAUGAAGAAAAAAGCGAGUAAACUGUAAACGCGAGAAAUAACAAAAAUAUUACAGGAACCCAUUUGAUUCGAGUAGUAAUGGUCGAGACAAUCGAGAAAUGAAAGGAUUAUCAGAACGAUUAAUCUCAUUAAAUAGAUUCCGUAGCAAGAACGGUUAAUUAGCCCCGAGAUAUCAUUUUAUUUUCUCGAUUUGCGCUAACGUUUUCCACGUCGAAACUGGUGCAGGAGGAGAACGAACUGGCUCGAACGAGUAUCUGCAUCUCGAUGCAUGUGUCCUCGAGCGUCACACGCAUUGCCUUUUAUCACCGAAGUUCCCUUGACCCGUGACACUCGCUUUCUGUCUUCUACGCAUUCGGUAAAAAUUCGCGUUUUAUCGCGGGGGAAAAAAGGGAGUUCCGUUAUCGAGUGUCUUUUUACAAUGCAACUGUCAUUCUUUUUUGUAAACAAUCGAAUUCACGCUCGAUCGUUCGUAACGCGAUACAACCAUUGAUCGAUCACUCGGAAUAACUGUUGUUCUUUCUCUCGAUAAUUAUUUCCGUUGAUGACUUGGUCCGCGAGAAAACAGAAUGCGGGGUAGAUGCAUUUCGGAAUCGAGUUGUAACGGAGCUAUUUAUAGAAUUAAUUAUACGGAGUUAGUAAAUUAGAAAGUAGCUAGAAUGUGACUAGUUUGAAGAGUAGACGGUACAUUCCGUAAUACACCUGAGGUAGAGGACCUGUGAAUAAACUACCGAGUAGACAGUCUUUACUCGACGGCAGUAGUAUGAGUAAAUCAAAGAGUAGAAUAGUACAUCUACAUCUAUAACACUCGACCGAUAAUCUAUUACGGUAUAGAGUAAAGCAAAACAAUUAAAUCAGAAAAUGAUUAUAAAAUAGUGAAAGUCGCAAUGGAAAGUAGAAAAGUAAUUAGCUAAAUGAACGAACGGAAACAGAUGGAACAAUGUAAAUCCGCAGUUCCAUUAAACUUGGAUGCACAAGUGCAAAGGUUGAUUAUCUUUCAUCGAGCGAUGACAAAACACCAUGCGAUUUAAAAUUCAAAUUCGCUGGUCGAUCCUCUUAUAUCGAGCCUCUUAUUUCUCGCGGAUCGAUCCAUCGAUGGCAUAACAAGAUUUCUGCACCGCGAAGACAAAACCUCUACUCGACACACGAUAACCGAGGUCGUGGCAAUCGAGAUGCACACCGAGAGAAAGAGGAUAUGUUCAAAAUGACGUGUUCGAACGUAAGGUCGAUCGGUCUUGUUUUCGCCAUCUUGCAAUGUUUAUCAACCACUGGCCUAACUAUAAUUUUCCUUCUCUACAGUUACUAACAGGUUCAAUGUCUUGUCCUGAAUGCCACAAAGUAAUUUGGCCACUUUUCAAAUGCGCAAAGUUUAAAAUUCCUUCAUAUUCGUAUUCCUAAAAAAUAGUUCCUAUAUAAAAAAUGUAUUCCGCGUUUGCCAUGAACAAGAAAAAAUAUAACGUUCGAACAGAUAACCAUAUUAUUUGCUACAACGUGUUCCGAUAUAAUACUUUCUUUAUCUCCCCUCAGUUAAAAAACACGCAAUUAAUUCUAAUAAUAAAUACUACGAUCGCAGUGAUCAGCUUCUAAAUUUUAUCCCCGGAGCUUUUUAUUUACGGCCUACCCCGACCCUAAAUUCGAGACCGUAUUUUUGUUAAACUUUAUUUUUAACCGGUCUUUGUUACUUUACGAUUCCGAAUGUCGUCUUAAAUUAACAUCUCGCAGAUUUUUCCGCGUGAAAUGAGAAAUGCGAUCUUUUGAUUUCUUGGAUUUCGUAUGGAAACAAGAAUUCGAAUGUUUUGUGAAAUAAAUUAUUGUAGAAAUUCCAUAAUACAAAUUU